rnacentral:rRNA from 1 species
CGAGCACGCGCGUGUGGCAUAUCAAUAAGCGGAGGAAAAGAAACUAACAAGGAUUCCCCUAGUAACGGCGAGUGAAGCGGGAAGAGCUCAAAUUUGAAAUCUUCAAGGUUUGACCUUGACGAAUUGUAGUUUAUAGAAGUGUUUUCUGUUAGAUGGAGUGGUAAAAGUUCUUUGGAAUAGGACAUCAUAGAGGGUGAGAAUCCCGUAUUUGAUCCAUUCCUUCCUAGCGUUGUGAUACACUCUCAAAGAGUCGGAUUGUUUGGGAAUGCAGUCCAAAAUGGGUGGUAAAUUUCAUCUAAAGCUAAAUAUUGGCGAGAGACCGAUAGCGAACAAGUACCGUGAGGGAAAGAUGAAAAGAACUUUGAAAAGAGAGUUAAACAGUACGUGAAAUUGUCAAAAGGGAAGCGUUUGACACCAGUGUUGUUUUUCCGAAAAUCAAUUACGAAUGUUUUAGUUUUUGAGGAGUUAUGACUUCAUCGGCUUGCUCCUUUCUUUACUGAAACUUUCUUAAUGCACUUUUCGGUUAACAAGUCAACAUCAAUUUCUUUUGUUGUAAAAGGGUAUGAGGAAGGUGGCUUUCUUUUCGGAGAAAGUGUUUAUAGCCUUGUGCCUCUGCAAUCGGAGAGAUUGAGGUCUGCAGCGUAGAUCCUUCGGGGUUAGAUACGUUUGUGCUAAGUUAUAGCUUUUCAUAGACAACUUGUUGACUAUGUUUAGUCUUGUAGCUUACUCGCUGAUGCUAUUUUACCUACGCUUAGGAUGUUGAACUCUAUCACACACAG